CGGGUGAGUAAUGUCUGGGGAUCUGCCUGAUGGCGGGGGAUAACUACUGGAAACGGUAGCUAAUACCGCAUAAUGUCUACGGACCAAAGCGGGGGACCUCCGGGCCUCGCGCCAUCAGAUGAACCCAUAUGGGAUUAGCUAGUAGGUGAGGUAACGGCUUACCUAGGCGACGAUCCCUAGCUGGUCUGAGAGGAUGAUCAGCCACACUGGAACUGAGACACGGUCCAG
rnacentral:rRNA from 1 species